UCCUACGGGGCGCAGCAGUGGGGAAUAUUGCGGAAUGGGCGAAAGCCUGACGCAGCGACGCCGCGUGAGGGAUGAAGGUCUUCGGAUCGUAGACCUCUGUCAGCAGGGAAGAACGGUCACUGUGCUAAUCAGCAGUGAAUUGACGGUACCUGCAAAGGAAGCACCGGCUAACUCCGUGCCAGCAGCCGCGGUAAUACGGAGGGUGCGAGCGUUAAUCGGAAUUACUGGGCGUAAAGCGCUCGUAGGCGGUAUGUCAAGUCAAGGGUGAAAUCCCCGCGCUCAACGUGGGAACUGCCUUUGAAACU
rnacentral:rRNA from 1 species